AUUGAACGCUGGCGGCAUGCCUUACACAUGCCAGUCGAACGGUAACAGGUUAAGCUGACGCGUGGCGAACGGGUGAGUAAUACAUCGGAACGUGCCCAGUAGUGGGGGAUAGCCCGGCGAAAGCCGGAUUAAUACCGCAUACGACCUAAGGGUGAAAGGGGGGGAUCGCAAGACCUCUCGCUAUUGGAGCGGCCGAUGUCAGAUUAGCUAGUUGGUGGGGUAAAAGCUCACCAAGGCGACGAUCUGUAGCUGGUCUGAGAGGACGACCAGCCACACUGGGACUGAGACACGGCCCAGACUCCUACGGGAGGCAGCAGUGGGGAAUUUUGGACAAUGGGCGCAAGCCUGAUCCAGCCAUGCCGCGUGCGGGAAGAAGGCCUUCGGGUUGUAAACCGCUUUUGUCAGGGAAGAAAUCCUUUGGGUUAAUACCUCGGGGGGAUGACGGUACCUGAAGAAUAAGCACCGGCUAACUACGUG
rnacentral:rRNA from 1 species